rnacentral:lncRNA from 1 species
CCAUGACCUGUUUACCGACUCGGACCCGGGAUGUGGAUUCGAAUCAUUCAAUUAACCCGUUUUAAUUGAAAUCAAAACCAAACCCUUGAAUCUCGUACCUCUCCAUCAUUCAACUCUCGCCUGCUCCGCCCCCGCCGGCUACUUCUACUUCCAGUCCACCGGUGGCCAGCAUCUCCUAGAUUAGGGGUUCUAAUCUCCGACACUGUAAGUGUAUCCGGUAUCUCCAAAGUCAAAACCCCAAUCCUCCCCCACCCAACUCCGCAGGACCGCAACUGCCAUCGCCUCUCGCCAAGCAUCAGCUGCCGCCUCUAAAGAAGAAGAACUGAAGAAAAGAAGCCGUGGGCAGCAGGGGCUUACUGACCUUGAUUUCAAUUUGAAGAAAAGAAGCCGUAGGCCCGCCGCCCAUAGCCCAGCAGAAAAACGAUUGAACGAAGAAGGUGAAGGUGACUUGCUGACUUUGAUUUCAAUUUGAGUUAAUUUGUGUGCUUAUUAAUUUUCCAUUGCUGAAUUACCUGUCAUUUUAGUAAAAAUUAGGCACAAGAGAAAAUAGAAAUGAACCGAGUGCGAUACCCAUUACCCAAGCUCCAAAAAUUGCUGAAUUACCUGUCAUUUUAAUUGAUAUCUGCUCACUGCUCUCCAAAGUGCAAUACCCAAGCUCCAAAAAUUGAGUGCUAUGGUCGGCCUAAGGGUGAACAAAGUACAAGAAAUGGGUCUAUUUACAAAUUGUUACAAAAUCAUAUAAACUUAACCAAAAAAUGAUUAGGUGCCAUGGACCCAUCCCAAAGAAAAGUGAAUGUCAAGGGCUGCUGGAAAAGGGUUAAAAAUGAUAAAGAAAAAAGAGCUAAAAUGGAUGAAAGAGGGAUUUCUUAGAAUAGAAUAUUGCAGUUGCAGAAGUCUAAAUAUUUUAAUUAUCUUAUUGAGUUCUUUUGGGCAAAAGAAGUUUGCAAAAGAUCCAACUUUCUGUUUCAUAAAGAAAGAAAAGAGAAUUUGCAUGAAAGCUGCGACUACUAACUUGUAAAAUAUUAUGAAUUUAAUUCAUUUUUAUCUCCAGAAUAUGGCUCCAACUAAAUAUAGGGAUAGGAUUACAAAUAAUUAUAAGAAGAGGAAUCCAUAGUGAUUAUGCAAUUAAGCGAUCGUGGAAGUAAUCAUGGAAAAUUAUUAAGCAUAUAUCAAAUAUUUGGAAAGUGUUUAUAAACACUUUAAAUUAUAUAUAAAUAGAUAAAAAUUAGUGAUAAAUAAAUUAAUAGUAUGGUGUAUGUCUGAAUGGAGCAUUAAAUUGGAUUGAUAAGGUGAAUUAAUAUUGUGAAAUUGGGUUGAUAAUGUGAAAUUGUGAAAUGUGAAUUGGAUUGUGAAAUGUGAAUCGCACUGCGAAUUGAGAUUGCGAAAUUGUGAAUAUAUGAUUCUUUUGUCAUUAUGAAUUAUUCUCACUCACUCCCAGUAAUAAUUGGAUAUGGGAUUGGUCAAUGCUGCAUUCUCUCUUCAUGUAUUUUGAUAUUUUGUAUGCCAGAUGAGAUAUAGGUUAAAACUUAAAAAGUGGAUAAUAUGUAUCUAUCUACUAUGCUAUUUAAAUCAGGUGGUGUUGCAGAAGCUAAUGUUGUUGAAGCAUACAAUGGAGUCAAUAUUACAGUGAUGGUUGGUGGUUUCCUUGGAAAAGAGGAAAGAUGUGAUAUUAAAGAAUGUUUCAUAUACAAAUCCAGAAAUCCCAGGCUUCGGUUCUCAAGAAGCAUGCUGCUGCCAACAGCGAGGUAAUUGGCUUAAAUUGA